UACGUAGGGUGCGAGCAUUGUCCGGAAUUAUUGGGCGUAAAGAGCUCGUAGGCGGCUUGUCGCGUCGGAUGUGAAAGCCCGGGGCUUAACCCCGGGUCUGCAUUCGAUACGGGCAGGCUAGAGUUCGGUAGGGGAGAUCGGAAUUCCUGGUGUAGCGGUGAAAUGCGCAGAUAUCAGGAGGAACACCGGUGGCGAAGGCGGAUCUCUGGGCCGAUACUGACGCUGAGGAGCGAAAGCGUGGGGAGCGAACAGG
rnacentral:rRNA from 1 species